rnacentral:tRNA from 1 species
GCGGGCGUAGCUCAGUGGUAGAGUGCCACCUUGCCAAGGUGGAUGUCGAGGGUUCGAAUCCCUUCGCCCGCUCCA